rnacentral:lncRNA from 1 species
UGAAUUUCCUCCAUGGUGGGCUGGUCUUAAGCAAACUCCUUUUAUGUGUGAUAUGGGAGAUACUGAAAGGCCAGAUGGAGCAACCAAGCUGGGAAGGCCGUGAAAAGAGGGUUAUCAUGUAUGCCCGAUAACAGAAAAAGACUACGAAAACCACAACCUUGGACUAAAGGCCAUCACAAGCUUACAUAAAAAAUGCUUCUGCAAGGACAUCUGCCCAGAAACUUCCUGUGUACUCUCGGUAAGGCAUAACCCUUGUUACUUAUCUUUGCAGCCAAGGAUAAUUAUUUCAAAACAAUUGUGUAAUCCUCCUUAUUUUUUCCUUUAAAAAUCUUUGUCUUCCUUUACCUCCCUGAAAAUGUACAUAGCUUAGCAUGGCACAUGUAUUCCCAUCACAAUGUUUUAUUCCCAAAUAUAUUUCUUUUAGAGAGCCUCUCGUUGUUAUUUAGGUUGACAGUUUGAAAAUGUGAAUAAUAAGGGAAAUUCACUGAAACUUUGCUCAUCAUAACAAAAGUUUAAAAACACUUAAAUGUCUUUCAAUAAUAGACUUUUUGAAUAAAUUAAGCUACACACAUAUAGGUGUGCACACACCUAAACACAUACACCUGAAUACACACAUUGGAAUACAAAGAAACCAUAUGUCUAUUGUAUAUUGUUAAGUUUUUUAAAAACAAAUUGUAAAGCUCCUGUAGAGUUGCUCUUAUUUUAUUAAAUACUAUACAUACGUGUAUAUGGGCCUAGAGAUAUGUCUAAAAGGAAUGUCAUGAAAAUGUGAACUUCAGUCAUCUGCAUGAUGGAAUGAGUCAAUUUUUAGUUUCCUCUCUGUACUUCCCUGUAUAGUUUGAAUUGUUUAGAAAAGCAUAUGCCAUGUUUACAGAAGCAAUACAAUGAUUUUUACAUAAAAUAUAAUGUUAUAGCUGUUAUUAAUCUCCUUUCAAGAAAAUAUUAUUGCUUCAAAGACAGCCAUGCUAAUAAGGGCUAAUUUGUCAGAUUGAUUCAUUGACAUCUUGGGAAGAAGACAUCAGCAACCCAAAGGGAAAGGAUACAGGAGACGUACUCUGUGGCUUUGCUAUGCAUACCCUGAAGAUGUCCAGCUAUCAUUUCUUUUCACCAGACCAGAUGACCUCUAAUUCAUCUUCCCUCCCACUCUAACCCCAAGACUGAUUCUAAACCUACAUUCUCUGCCAUGCUGGUAAACAUCCUUGUCAUCCAAGCAAAAUGCCCGGAAAUCAUCUUUGACUCCUUUUCUUUUUUCCUACCUUCUCCUUCAAUCUGUCUCCAACUAUUCAUCUACUUUCCAUUUCUACUGAUACUGCCUUAGCUUUGUAACCUCAUCAGUUCUCACCUGGAUUUUUGUCGGCAUCCUACCUGGCCUCACUCCUGCUCACCACUGAUUUGUCUCCCUUCCUGCAGUCAGAGCAAUUAUCCUAAAUAUUGUGAGAAUGGUGGCACUCUCUCUUCAAAAAUCUCCCAGUAGUUCUCUAUUGUUUGUACUGUACAGGAUAAACUUUCAGUUCCCCUAAAUAUCACAUCCACUCACCUGCUUCUGAGCUUUUUGGGCAUGGCAUCCCUCUUCUGGAAUGCUCUUAUUCCUUAGACCCAAUACUUCACCUGGCUAACUUCCACUUAUCCUGUGGUAUCUCUGCUUAGUCAUCACUUCCUCUCAGAAGCCCUUCGGGACUGCAUAUAUCUAUCUACCUAUCAAUGGAUUGAUUGAUAGAUAGAUAUCUUCAUGUGCUUCCAUAAUACCCUUAUCAUAGUACUUAUGAUGUUGAUUUAUAAUUAAUUCUUGAUUGCCUAGAUCCACACAUGAUCUGUCAGGAAAAGAAUUGUGUCUAAUUCACUACUGUGUCCCCAGCAUUUUGCACAAUUCCCGCACAUUUAAAAUCAUUGAAUGAAUGUGCUGCAGAAAUGGUUAAUUUCCAUCUGAAAUUGGUUCCCCUUAUUUUGCUAGAUGUUGCUGUAUAUGAUGUAGCACCUGGAACAUGGCUGCUCUGCCCUCAUCAGGGGAGUUAACCUGAGAAGACAGAGUAGGCAAAAGAUAAAAAGAACUGGGUCUUUCAAAUUGUCACUGAACCAAUGAAUUAACCAACUCUUGGUCAAUCUGCAUUCGGACUUCUUUUUUGUUUUGGACAGGGUCAGUCUAUCACCCAGGCUGGAGUACAGUGGUGCUAUCCAUAGAUCACUGCAGCCUCAACCUUCCGGAUUCAAACGAUUCUCCUGCCUCAGCCUCCCAAGUAGCUGGGAUUAUAGGUAUGCACCACCAUGCCAGGCUAAUUUUUGGAUUUUCAGUAGAGACGGGGUUUCACCAUGUUGGCCAGGCUGGUCUCGAACUCCUGACCUCAAGUGACCCACCUCCCCCAGGCCUCCCAAAGUGCUGGGAUUACAGGCAUGAGCCACCAACCUUGGCCUGUUAGGGCUUUACUUUAAAACAAAGAAAACAAAGGUAAUACUAUAUAUAUUUUUUUUUUUCUUUUUUCUUUUUUGAGACAGAGUCUUGCUCUGCUGCCCAGGCUGGAGUGCAGUGGCAUGAUCUCAGCUCAUUGCAAGCUCUGCCUCCUGGGUUCACGCCAUUCUCCUGUCUCAGCCUCCUGAGUAGCUGGGACUACAGGCACCCGCCACCACACCCAGCUAAUUUUUUGUAUUUUUAGUAGAGAUGGGGUUUCACCACAUUAGCCAGGAUGGUCUUGAUCUCCUGACCUUGUGAUCUUCCCGCCUCAGCCUCCCAAAGUGCUGGGAUUACAGGCGUGAGCCACCGCACCUGGCCAAACAAAGGUAAUAUUCUUAAAGAAGUUCCAGGAUUAAUACUCAGUCCAAUCUCCUAAAUUUUAGCAUGCAUAAGAAUAACGUAGCUGACUUCUUAAAAAGUAGAUUUCUGGCCCCACUUCUGGAGAUUUAGCUUCAGUGGGAUAUGGUAGAGUCUAGGACUCUGCAUUUUAGCAAGCAUUCUGAUGUAGUUGGUCUACAAACCACACUUCAACAAACCCUGUUCUAAAACUUCUACUUCAUAUCUAUGGAACGGAACCACAUGAAUGGCUCCCAACUUCUGGAUCUUUCCAUCAUUUGAAUCUGCUCCCUUGAUUAUUGUGUGAAGUGUAGUUUGCAGACCAACUGCAUUAGAAUUCUCUAUUCACCAGAAUAAGACAUUGAUCAGGUAAGUCACUUAACCUGAGUCUAAAUGUCCCCAUUUAUUUAAAAAAAAAUACAUAUUAAUUCCCUGCAUUGCCACUCCUGAGACUGGUUGCAAAGAUCAAAUGAUCUCAGUAGCUGCACUGUACAAAUAUAAGAAAAUGCAAUUUGUUAGGACUCUGGUAUUUAUCAUGCUCCUUUACUGAAGAAAAAAAAAACUGUUCUUUACACUCUAUUUAUUAAGAAAGAAAUAGAGGCUCACAUUGUAGAAAGAUUGCUACGUGGUCAAACUAUAAAAGGGGUUUACCUAGUUAACCUGAAAAGUUCUUGCCCAGAACAUCCUAUUCCUAAGCAUUCUGACUGUCUGCAUGCUCCAUCAACUCUGUAAGUAAUGUAUAAUAUGAAUAGAUUCCCUGACAAAGGAAGCUGCUUUGACUCCAGCAAAAAUUAGUAGGUCCAAGGUUAUAUAUCAUAUGAUUCCAUUCAUAUGACCUUCUGGAAAAAAAACAAAACUAUAGUGACA